rnacentral:rRNA from 1 species
GAUGAACGCUGGCGGCGUGCCUAAUACAUGCAAGUCGAGCGAACAGACGAGGAGCUUGCUCCUCUGACGUUAGCGGCGGACGGGUGAGUAACACGUGGAUAACCUACCUAUAAGACUGGGAUAACUUCGGGAAACCGGAGCUAAUACCGGAUAAUAUAUUGAACCGCAUGGGGGAAUAGUGAAAGACGGCUUUGCUGGCACGUAUAGAUGGAUCCGCGCCGGAUUGGCUAGUUGUUCAGGUAACGGGUUACCAAGGCAACGAUGCGUAGACGACCUGCGAGGGUGAUCGGCCACCCUGGAACUGAGCCACGGUCCAUACUCCUACGGGAGGCAGCAGUAGGGAAUCUUCCGCAAUGGGCGAAAACCUGACGGAGCAACGCCGCGUGAGUGAUGAAGGUCUUCGGAGCGUAAAACUCUGUUAUUAGGGAAGAACAAAUGUGUAAGUAACUAUGCACGUCUUGACGGUACCUGAUCAGAAAGCCACGGCUAACUACGUG